UUUCCGUAGGUGAACCUGCGGAAGGAUCAUUAUCGUACUACAGAGGUGCAAGGGUUGUCGCUGACCUUUCCAAAAGGUCGUGCACGCCCGAGCGCUCUCAAUCCAUUUCACCCCUUGUGCAUCACCGCGCGGGGUCGCUCCCUCUUGGCUCGCUUCGAGAGGGGGAGGCUCGCGUUUUUCACACAUAAACACCCUUCUGGUUUAGAAUGUCAUUCAUUUGCGAUCACACGCAAUCAAUACAACUUUCAACAACGGAUCUCUUGGCUCUCGCAUCGAUGAAGAACGCAGCGAAAUGCGAUACGUAAUGUGAAUUGCAGAAUUCAGUGAAUCAUCGAAUCUUUGAACGCAUCUUGCGCCCCUUGGUAUUCCGAGGGGCACACCCGUUUGAGUGUCGUGAAAUUCUCAAACCUUCUUGGUUUCUCGAUCAAGAUGGCUUUGGACUUUGGAGGCAUUUUGCUGGCUUUGCGAAAAGCCAGCUCCUCUUAAAUACAUUAGUGGGGUCCCCUUUGCCGAUCCCCAGGCGUGAUAAGAUGUUUCUACGUCUCGGGAUUUGCUCUGUUCCUUGGGAACCCGCUUAUAACCGUCUCAUGGGAGACAUCGUUCGAGCAUGCUCGACCCACGAACCUUGACCUCAAAUCGGGUGAGACUA
rnacentral:rRNA from 1 species